rnacentral:rRNA from 1 species
UGGGGAAUAUUGGGCAAUGGGCGCAAGCCUGACCCAGCAACGCCGCGUGAAGGAAGAAGGCUUUCGGGUUGUAAACUUCUUUUGACAGGGAAGAGUAGAAGACGGUACCUGUCGAAUAAGCCACGGCUAACUACGUGCCAGCAGCCGCGGUAAUACGUAGGUGGCAAGCGUUGUCCGGAUUUACUGGGUGUAAAGGGCGUGUAGCCGGGUUGACAAGUCAGAUGUGAAAUCCUGCGGCUUAACCGCAGAACUGCAUUUGAAACUGUUGAUCUUGAGUACUGGAGAGGCAGACGGAAUUCCUAG